AGAAUGAACGCUGGCGGCAGGCCUAAAACAUGCAAGUCGAACGCUCUAGCAAUAGAGAGUGGCGCACGGGUGCGUAACAUGUGGGAAUAUGCCUUUUGGUACGGAACAACGUUUGGAAACGAACGCUAAUACCGUAUGGUCCCUUCGGGGUAAAGAUUUAUCGCCAAAAGAUUAGCCCGCACUGGAUUAGCUAGUUGGUGAGGUAAUGGCUCACCAAGGCGACGAUCCAUAGCUGGUCUGAGAGGACGAUCAGCCACACUGGGACUGAGACACGGCCCAGACUCCUACGGGAGGCAGCAGUUAGGAAUAUUGGACAAUGGGCGCAAGCCUGAUCCAGCCAUGCCGCGUGAGUGAUGAAGGCCUUCGGGUUGUAAAGCUCUUUAGCCGAUGAUUAUAAUGACUGUAGUCGGAAAUACGCCCGGCUAACUUCGUGCCAGCAGCCGC
rnacentral:rRNA from 1 species